ACUUCCCGCUGCUUACAUGUGUGUGUAUCCUACAGCCUGUUCCACAAUGCCCAUGGGGGAAGUCUCAGGUGCCAUUAUCUGACUCUAUUCUGAACCUGUCCUGAUGAGCCCACAAAGUUUCCCUGCUGAGGGACUUUUCAAAAUAAAGAUGGAUUCCCCUCGGACAAGGAUGGUUUAGGUGUGGAAUCAUGGACUGGCAAAGGAAUGGGUCCAUUAAUCAGACAACUUUGAAGACGGAUUAAAGAUGGCUACCUGCCUGCAAUGUUCACUACAACUCUACUGACCUUAUGAUCAAGAUGGAAUCUCUAAGCAUCGGUACCCUAAGAAGCAUGGUGUUAAUGUGCUGGAGGGUGGAGCCUCACUCCCUCAAUGUCAGACCAAAAGAGGGAAUCCUUUGUUCACAGUCUGCUUAAUUAUGAGCCAUUCUUUUCCAUCCCUGGGCAUGAAGAUCUGUCAACUGGCAUCUUGAUCAUAAGGCGAUCAGAAGGAAAAUCAAUGUCUAUCCAUCUUUCAAGUGGGGAAACCUGUAUUUUAUAAACCAAGGCAUUCUCUUUUAAAUGGAAUUGACUGGAGCCACGGAGAAGGAAAGAGAAAAAACACAAUCCAGGGAAGAGAAGAUAGUGGGAUAGAACUUUGGAGAAGGCAGAAGGCAUCUUGGUUACAUCAAAACAUUUCUUAUCAGUUGCUCUGAUGCAAGAAAAUAAAACAACAGAGUAGCCAGCAACUAAAUGAAAUUUCAAGGAAACAAACUGUGUACUUUACAUUAAAAGUUUACCUGAGCAGAGGGGCAGUUUCCUGGCCAGUAUGAGGAAAUUAUAGACUGCCCAUUAAUGCCAGAAGUCAGUCCCCCAUGCAAUGAUGUACUAAUGUAAUAACAGCAGAAACGCUAGGCCCGGAUGGCAGAGUGGCUCAGGGGCACAAAUGAAAAUGAGUUCAGUCUCAUCCUGUUCUCCUACAGACAUUUAUCCACAUGCAAUACAGGGCCAUAAAGUUGACAAGAUAGCUGAGCCCUCCAGGGAGAAAACCGGGUUUAGAAUCACCGGAGAGGUUAGCCAACAAGGUGAGAGGUGCAUCUGCAGAGCGAUGCAGUGAAACUUAGGAUGUGCCUGUCUCUCCUCCGGCAGGGCUCUUGGGCUCUCUAAUGAACACCCCUGAUUGACACCAUGAGAUACAUUUCAGGGGGCUCCUCUCCUGCCUAGGUCUGGGCCUUAAAAGAAAGAUUUCCAAGGCAGCCCGACAUGGAUGAAAACGGAAGUUCCAAAAUCAGUCUCCGUAGGAGAGCCGAUCGACAGCUCUAGGUGGUCUUUGCCAGACGCUUGCAGCUGUGGAGAAAGGAAGACAGAAUGAGAUGAGACAAGAGGUUACAGGGUCCCUUGGGAGUCUGGGGUUUUCCAGGCAACUUACCAUAAAGUUACUUACUGAAAACCCCACUUAAAGUCACCUGGGAGGGAGGGAGAGGACCACAACUCUAUGCCAGAUAACCCCUGUGCAAGCUGGAAGUGCAUUAGCAUAUCUGGGGAGGGAUCUUGGGGGGCUGGAGGAGUGAUGUGUUAGUGCAGGAUGAUGAUGAAUACCGAUGAACUCUCAGAAUGACUCAGCCCAUGACUAAGUCUGUGAGACUCUCCUGUCCCCUCUGUCCAAUAUUCCCCGCUCCCCGACCCCCAAUGGCUGGAAAUUUUGAUGAACAUGAAAAAUCCCUUUGUACCAAGAGGUGGUUGAAUCUCUCUCUCUCUCUCUCUCUCUCACACACACACACACACACACACACACA